rnacentral:rRNA from 1 species
UACAGAGGUCCCUAGCGUUGUUCGGAUUUACUGGGCGUAAAGGGCGCGUAGGCGGCGAGGCGUGUCAAGUGUGAAAUCUCCGGGCUCAACCCGGAAAGUGCGCUUGAAACUACCUUGCUAGAGUACGGGAGAGGGAAGGGGAAUAUAGGGUGUAGCGGUGAAAUGCGUUGAUAUCCUAUAGAACACCGGAGGCGAAGGCGCCUUCCUUGAACGAUACUGACGCUCAGGCGCGAAAGUCGGGGGAGCAAAC